GCAGCAGCCACGGGAAUACAGAGGGUGCAAGCGUUAAUCGGAAUUACUGGGCGUAAAGCGCGCGUAGGUGGUUUGUUAAGUUGGAUGUGAAAUCCCCGGGCUCAACCUGGGAACUGCAUUCAAAACUGACUGACUAGAGUAUGGUAGAGGGUGGUGGAAUUUCCUGUGUAGCGGUGAAAUGCGUAGAUAUAGGAAGGAACACCAGUAGCGAAGGCGACCACCUGGACUAAUACUGACACUGAGGUGCGAAAGCGUGAGGAGCAAACAGGAUUAGAUACCCCGGUAGUCCCUGUCUCUUAUAC
rnacentral:rRNA from 1 species